rnacentral:lncRNA from 1 species
CCAGGAAGUCGCAUGGUUGGCUGGAGAGGAUUUGGUCAGGAAUAAGAUGCAACUUCAAACCUCCUCCACUGGUUCUGUGUGAUCAGAUGAGGAAACCAAGGCUUGGGGAGGUUCAGUGAAAUGGAGGAUGCACAGCUAGGAGAAGGUAAAGUGAAAUUUGGGUGAAGACUCUAUAACCCUUAAAUGCUGGACUGUAUCAACAAUGACCUAUAUCACUACUUAGCUGUAUGACCACAGAACUAUACAAAUAUGCAGCAGCAUGACCAUGGAACUCUAUGAUGUGGAGCUCUAUAACCACAGAUUUAUGAUGCGAAGAUCCUCACUGCCAGCUGUGAAAAAUGGAUGAUGUCCAGACACGCAAGUGCCUUCGACGUGCCACAUUUGGCAAUAAUGUGGUGUCUCCUCACUCAGAGCCUACGCUAUGGAUGGGAACCCAUAUUUUACCUGGAACCUUCAGCUGGGAGAUUGGCUCCAAGCUGGCAGAAGCGUGGCUCGUUAGGCGUGCGGGCCAGAGAUGCGCACACAUCGUCAAGGUCAGCCCUCAAGCAUGGGCCUCAGGAUGGUUAUUGAUGAGCCUGCUGCCCUUUCCCAUUGUGGAGCACCAUUCUCAUACACAGGCCAAGGACUUCCUGCCCAUAAAUCAGGUCCUUGUAAUAGUAAUUAAUAGAGCGACCUGCAGAGGGUGA